rnacentral:rRNA from 1 species
UACGUAGGCAGCGAGCGUUGUUCGGAGUUACUGGGCGUAAAGGGUGUGUAGGCGGUUCUUUUAAGUUUGGCGUGAAAUCUCCCGGCUCAACCGGGAGGGUGCGUCGAAUACUGAGGGACUAGAGUACGGGAGAGGAAAGUGGAAUUCCUGGUGUAGCGGUGAAAUGCGUAGAUAUCAGGAGGAACACCGGUGGUGUAGACGGCUUUCUGGACCGUAACUGACGCUGAGACACGAAAGCGUGGGUAGCAACAGG